UGAUAAGUCUGAUGUGAAAGCCCACGGCUCAACCGUGGAACUGCAUCGGAAACUGUCAUUCUUGAGUGCAGAAGAGGAGAGUGGAAUUCCAUGUGUAGCGGUGGAAUGCGUAGAUAUAUGGAAGAACACCAGUGGCGAAGGCGGCUCUCUGGUCUGCAACUGACGCUGAGGCUCGAAAGCAUGGGUAGCGAACAGGAUUAGAUACCCUGGUAGUCCAUGCCGUAAACGAUGAGCGCUAGGUGUUGGGGACUUUCCGGUCCUCAGUGCCGCAGCAAACGCAUUAAGCGCUCCGCCUGGGGAGUACGACCGCAAGGUUGAAACUCAAAGGAAUUGACGGGGGCCCGCACAAGCGGUGGAGCAUGUGGUUUAAUUCGAAGCAACGCGAAGAACCUUACCAGGUCUUGACAUCCUGCGCUACACCUAGAGAUAGGUGGUUCCCUUCGGGGACGCAGAGACAGGUGGUGCAUGGCUGUCGUCAGCUCGUGUCGUGAGAUGUUGGGUUAAGUCCCGCAACGAGCGCAACCCUUGUCUUUAGUUGCCAUCAUUAAGUUGGGCACUCUAAAGAGACUGCCGGUGACAAACCGGAGGAAGGUGGGGAUGACGUCAAGUCAUCAUGCCCCUUAUGACCUGGGCUACACACGUGCUACAAUGGGCAGUACAACGAGAAGCGAACCCGCGAGGGUAAGCGGAUCUCUUAAAGCUGUUCUCAGUUCGGACUGCAGGCUGCAACUCGCCUGCACGAAGCUGGAAUCGCUAGUAAUCGCGGAUCAGCACGCCGCGGUGAAUACGUUCCCGGGCCUUGUACACACCGCCCGUCACACCAUGGAAGUCUGCAAUGCCCAAAGUCGGUGGGAUAACCUUUAUAGGAGUCAGCCGCCUAAGGCAGGGCAGAUGACUGGGGUGAAGUCGUAACAAGGUAGCCGUAGGAGAACCUGCGGCUGGAUCACCUCCUUUCUAAGGAA
rnacentral:rRNA from 1 species